GGGGAAUAUUGCACAAUGGGCGCAAGCCUGAUGCAGCGACGCCGCGUGAGGGAUGACGGCCUUCGGGUUGUAAACCUCUUUCAGCACAGACGAAGCGCAAGUGACGGUAUGUGCAGAAGAAGGACCGGCCAACUACGUGCCAGCAGCCGCGGUAAUACGUAGGGUCCGAGCGUUGUCCGGAAUUACUGGGCGUAAAGAGCUCGUAGGUGGUUUGUCGCGUUGUUCGUGAAAACUCACAGCUUAACUGUGGGCGUGCGGGCGAUACGGGCAGACUAGAGUACUGCAGGGGAGACUGGAAUUCCUGGUGUAGCGGUGGAAUGCGCAGAUAUCAGGAGGAACACCGGUGGCGAAGGCGGGUCUCUGGGCAGUAACUGACGCUGAGGAGCGAAAGCGUGGGGAGCGAAC
rnacentral:rRNA from 1 species